UCGAGGAUCUUUGGCAAUGAGCGCAAGCUUGACCAAGCGACGCCGCGUGUGCGAAGAAGGCCUUCGGGUUGUAAAGCACUGUCGAGGGGGAGGAAAGCCCGAAAGGGUCUGACCUAUCCCUGGAGGAAGCUCGGGCUAAGUUCGUGCCAGCAGCCGCGGUAAGACGAACCGAGCGAACGUUGUUCGGAAUCACUGGGCUUAAAGGGCGCGUAGGCGGGUCAGCAAGUCCGGGGUGAAAUCUUUCGGCUUAACCGGAAAAGUGCCUUGGAUACUGCUGGUCUCGAGGGAGGUAGGGGUCUGUGGAACUUCUGGUGGAGCGGUGAAAUGCGUUGAUAUCAGAAGGAACGCCGGUGGCGAAAGCGACGGACUGGAUCUCUUCUGACGCUGAGGCGCGAAAGCUAGGGGAGCAAACGG
rnacentral:rRNA from 1 species